rnacentral:rRNA from 1 species
AUACGGAGGAUGCAAGCGUUAUCCGGAUUUAUUGGGUUUAAAGGGUGCGCAGGCGGCGCGAUAAGUCAGCGGUGAAAUGUACCGGCUCAACCGGUGAGCUGCCGUUGAUACUGUCGUGCUUGAGUGCGAGCGGCGCCGGCGGAAUGUGUGAUGUAGCGGUGAAAUGCAUAGAUAUCACACAGAACACCGAUCGCGAAGGCAGCUGGCGAGGACGUUACUGACGCUGAGGCACGAAAGCGUUGGGAUCAAACAGGAUUAGAUACCCUGGUAGUCCACGCAGUAAACGAUGAUGACUUGUUGUCGGCGACAGACAGUCGGUGACAAAGCGAAAGCGAUAAGUCAUCCACCUGGGGAGUACGAUCGCAAGGUUGAAGCUCAAAUGAAUUGGCGGGG